GGAGAGCUGGCAGAACGGCUAUUGCACCGGUCUUGAAAACCGGCGUCCGUAAGGACUUUGGGGUUCGAAUCCCUAGCUCUCCG
rnacentral:tRNA from 1 species